GACGAACGCUGGCGGCGUGCUUAACACAUGCAAGUCGUACGGUAAGGCCCUUUCGGGGGUACACGAGUGGCGAACGGGUGAGUAACACGUGAGUAACCUGCCCACAACUUUGGGAUAACGUUAGGAAACUGGUGCUAAUACUGGAUAUGUUCUCCUGCUGCAUGGUGGGGGUUGGAAAGCUCCGGCGGUUGUGGAUGGACUCGCGGCCUAUCAGCUUGUUGGUGGGGUAGUGGCCUACCGAGGCGGCGACGGGUAGCCGGCCUGAGAGGGUGACCGGCCACAUUGGGACUGAGAUACGGCCCAGACUCCUACGGGAGGCAGCAGUGGGGAAUAUUGCACAAUGGGCGCAAGCCUGAUGCAGCAGCUCCGCGUGCGGGAUGACGGCCUUCGGGUUGUAAACCGCUUUCAGCAGGGACGAAGCUUUUUGUGACGGUACCUGCAGAAGAAGCACCGGCUAACUACGUG
rnacentral:rRNA from 1 species